rnacentral:rRNA from 1 species
GACAGAGGAGCCAAGCGUUGUCCGGACUGACUGGGCGUAAAGCGCCCGCAGGCGGCCGUGCACGUGGGGUGUGAAAGCUCGCGGCUUAACUGCGAGAGGCCAUCCCAUACGGCGCGGCUCGAGCCGUCCAGAGGCCGGUGGAAUUGCCGGUGUAGUGGUGAAAUGCGUAGAGAUCGGCAGGAACACCCAGGGGAACCAGCCGGCUGGGGACGUGCUGACGCUCA